rnacentral:tRNA from 1 species
GUGGGUGUAGCUCAGUUGGUAGAGCACCUGGUUGUGGUCCAGGAUGUCGCGAGUUCAAGUCUCGUCAUCCACCCCA